rnacentral:rRNA from 1 species
UACGUAGGGUGCAAGCGUUAUCCGGAAUUAUUGGGCGUAAAGAGCUCGUAGGCGGUUUGUCGCGUCUGCUGUGAAAACUGGAGGCUCAACCUCGGGCCUGCAGCCGAUACGGGCAGACUAGAGUUCGGCAGGGGAGACUGGAAUUCCUGGUGUAGCGGUGAAAUGCGCAGAUAUCAGGAGGAACACCGGUGGCGAAGGCGGGUCUCUGGGCCGAUACUGACGCUGAGGAGCGAAAGCGUGGGGAGCGAACAGG